UACAGAGGUCCCAAGCGUUGUUCGGAUUCACUGGGCGUAAAGGGUGCGCAGGUGGGUUUGCAAGUUUGAUGUGAGAGCCCCGGGCUUAACCCGGGAAUGGCAUUGAAUACUGCAGAUCUGGAGGAUUGGAGGGGGGACUGGAAUUCUUGGUGUAGCAGUGAAAUGCGUAGAUAUCAAGAGGAACACCGGUGGCGAAGGCGGUUCUCUGGGCCUUACCUGACGCUGAGGAGCGAAAGCGUGGGGAGCGAACAGG
rnacentral:rRNA from 1 species